rnacentral:lncRNA from 1 species
GGACAUGAAAGAAGAAUGUGUACACAGGCCUUUCAUCACCAAAAUGUUGUAACAUCAUUAAUGUUUGUUUGCUUGUUUGUCUCCAUUCAAAUACAGAAAACUGAUAUAUAGCCUGGGAUAUUAUAAUUCAUUGUCAAAAGGGUGUUCUUAAUCGAGCGAUUUUGUGCAUGAAUUCAGCACAAGAGAUCAUGGCCAACAGUAACAUGGGUAUCAGGUUUGGACAAGAUCUGCCCAACACAGAGCCCCGGUGACAAAGAGUGGCCCUCACAUCUCUGACCCAGCCUGGGGGAACUGCUCCUUCUGACUCACAGUCUGCUUGUUCAGGUUCUCAUUAAAGCUGUCCUUGAUCUCCACAACUUCCUGCCGACUGCUGCUAAGAAAUCUGACUCCCGGAGCUCUGUCAAGGGCAGGUCUGUAUGUACUCAGCUUGAAAGAGCCAGAAGUCAGGGCCUGAGUGUAGAGGUGGCCGGGAGGGCACUGCUGGGUAAGGCAGCAUGGGAGGGCACCUGGAGUGGCAUUGUCAGGUCUCCUGGUGGCUUAGAAAGCUCUUCUCAAGGAGCCACACUACCUGGUAGAUAAGUCUGACAGCCCACUUUUUUCUCUGACUCCUUGUCCCCCAUCUGUAAACCCUUCACAAUGCCCCAGACAUGCAAUUAAAUACUAAUUUUAAAAUCAGGUUUUAUCUAAGCUCCUUAUGGGUUAUUUCUGCUCCCACAGAGGUACAAGAAACUCCAAUAGCACACUAAUUACACCCCACUUGAUAGGAGGCAGCCUGGGAGGUUGAGGUGCACAGGGCAGCUUUCAUACCUACCCUGCUAGGAGGUUUCAAUGCUUAUUAUUUCUUAGGUCUCUGAGAUUUUUGUUGCAGUUUCACCAUAGUAUAGAGAGUGCCCUGUAUCACAGUGCUGGGCUAAUAUGGAUUUCUUUCUUUUUUUAUUUUUAUUUUUUUUAAACCAUGCUUUUUCAGGCACUGUGGAAUAUAGUUCCUGGCAUUUAAGAGAAGGUGCCUGUUGGACUCUGAAUAAAGCCAUUUCCUCUGCAAUUAGAGACUUUGGCUCAAAAAAGACCUUUUCUGAGAAACCAUAAGCCCAUAUUCUGGUAUUUCAGUAUUUCAUCUCUUACCCUCCCCCUAUUCCUCACUGGAAUUCAUACAAUCCUAGAAAUUGAACACCACCAUGAAACAAUCAUCCAAACAUAUUAUUCCACUUUCAGGCUUAAGAAAACGAGGUUAAAGACACAGGCCCCCCACCCAAACCUUUAGCGAGUUUUAGACCAAAUAUAUGUGAAGGGCCUUUUCCAAAAGGAAUAGUAACUAGAAGCCAAAAAUAAAGCACUGAAAUAAAAUCCCACUUUGAAUUAUGUAUAAGCAAAGUACAUUAGUAAAAUCCAAAUGUACUUUAGGAAUAGAGAUCUGCUAUUUGCUAGGAUUGGAAUUUCAUUAUUGAAAAGGAAGGGAAAAAACAGAAGUAAUAAAAUUAGUUGUACUUAGUAUUGAUGACAAACACGCUCCAUAUUUGAUGAUUGUCUCCUGAGUCCAUCAGUACAGUUGGAGCUGCUUUUAAUGGGUUAAAACUCAUUAAGAGGAGAGUUGUCUCUUGAGCUGAGGUGUUGGAACAUGAAAGUCUGAUUAUUUUUCCUUCUUUUGUUUAUUCAUUCAUUUGUUCAUCAUGAAACUCAUUCUCUGCCUGGUACUGAGGAAGGAUGUUAAUGCAAGAACCACCCCUACUCUUGAGGGCCUUCCCAGUUUCCUUCAGGAUUUAAGCUCCCUGGCCUCAUUCCAGACAUUGGUCACCAAGUCCGCUAUUACAUUGGAUGAUUAAAGGUAUGUGGAUAUCAAGGAGAGAGCAGGCAGGGAAUUACAUUUGAUGGGCUCCAUUAGUCUUCUGUGGUUCAGGUAAGGUCAGCACAGGAUAUUGUUCAAACUCUAAAUUCUGGUACUUUGUUCCUGGGCAUAGAUGCUCUAACAUUCAGAGGUUUUUGCUGCCUUUUGAAAGGUGUCAAACUCAUAAUCUCACACAGAGUACACCAGAAUGAGGGACACUGACCAGCUCUAACCCAUCUCUAGGCACUAGGUCAUCUUGUCUCAAAAGACCUGUAUAAAAGUAGGCUAUUUCAUGCAAGGAAACUGCAGUUAGGAAAAUUACAUAUGUGCUUUAGACCACUCACAGGUAAAGGGUGGUGCCUGGUCAGGAGCUCUGGUUUUGCUCUUAACCCUUACACAGCCCUGCUUCCUUCAGAAAAAGUGUGGGGUGGAGUUCCCGUCGUGGCUCUGUGGUUAAUGAGCCCGACUAGUAUCCAUGAGGCUGUGGGUUCCAUUCCUGGCCUCGAUCAGUGGGUUAAGGAUCUGGCGUUGCCAUGAGCUGUGGUGUAGGUCGCAGAAGCAAUUCGGAUCCCAUGUUGCUGUGGCCCUGACGUAGGCCAGCGGCUACAGCUCCAAUUAGACCCCUAGCCUGGGAACCUCCGUAUGCCAUGGGUGCAGCCCUAAAAAGACAAAAAGAAAAAAAGAAAAAAAAGUGUGAGGUGAUACUUUCUAGGCACUGUGGCAAAAUGAGGGUAGAUGAUAGGAGAGGAAAAAGCUAACCUUUCUCUAUUCUCGCCAUAUAUUUUGAAAUUUGAACAGUCCUUGAAUUUAUUUCCUUUUUUCUGAUUUAAAAAUUGAAAUCGUUUAUUAUCCCUCAAUCAGGAGGAAACACUGUCGAAUUUUUUUGUGUACUUUCUAUCUCAUUUCUUUGCAUACAUGUGUGUAUGUGUAUAAAUCAAAUUGGUAUUUUUAUUACUUAGCCACUUUUCUUUUGAUGGACACUAGAGAGGUUGCACGCCCUGGACCAAUGCAGAAUACAAAGCAUUUUUGUUAAUUAGCUAUCUAUGCCAUAUUGGGCUUUUCAUUCCUUUUUGUAUCACAAGAUCGUUUCUCUUGCUGAUUCAUCUCCUGCCAUAUCUUUUACAUUCUCUCUAUGUCCAUUGCCACUUCUCUGUACAACUCUUGUUACCUUUCUUCCCUUCCUUUCCUCCAAAACUGUCCUCAUAAAGGUUGCUGAAGUUCUAGUUAUUAAUAAUCCAGUGAUGCCCAGUUUAUCUAUUUGUUUCACUUGUUCCUGUGCGUCUAUUAUUUUGGUACUAAGAAACCAUCAAGGAUACAAAGAGUCAUGGCCUAUGUGCUCUUCUGAGAGUUUUAUAGUUUUAGUUCUUACAUUUAGCUGUUACAAAAAGGCAUUUAUUAAGGGGGUAUUUUACAGAAUUAGGAGGGUUUGAAGAAAUGGACUCUAGCUUUGGCUUCCAGGAACAACCCUCUCGAUCACAUUAUAGAACUGGGUUGCCAGAGAGAUGUGGUCUUGACCAUGACCACGAAGCUGGUACGCCCCUCUAGCUCCAGAACCACCCUAUCCUGCCAUGGUCUCCACCAGCAAAAUGAUUGCCUUGUGUCCCAUCCAUCUUCCACAUUCAACUCAGAGCCUCAGUCUCUUCAUUUAUAAACUGUGAGGGGCAUCUACCUCCAGGGUGUAUCUAGCACAUUUCACAAUUCGUGGGGCCUAAGCACAUGCCAGUGAUAUGGAUGUAGAUUGUAAAUGACUCGUUAGGACUUACCGGUGCCAACCAGCUGAAUAUUAACAGUCUUGACAGUAUUACAAGAAUUAAAUGAGCUUGGUACUGUAAUGCCAAGUGACAAGGGUUAUUUGAUGGUCCUGGGUACCUAUGGCAUGCCUGGUCUGACUGAGAUUACUCAGGGUAGCAGUGGUCAGACAGGUGAAAAUCCUAGAAACACCCCCCAAGACCUUAAAAGAGAGAGAAUGCUCUCACAGAUACAGACAAGAAUCUAAGCACUUGGACUCCUGCCUCUGAGCUCUUGACCUGAGCAUAACCUGGGCACACAGGAAAGAGAGCUGGGUGGUGUUUGGUCAGUCAAGGGGGAGACUGCUCCAGUUCUCAACUGUUAUUCUAGCAAAACAGGUGGAUGGAUUUGAGCCCAAGAGGUAAGAAGUGAGCAAAAUAACCAGGAUCGUUAGGCUUUGGGGUAUGCUUUGCAUGAGAAUGAUGGACACUAAACCUGUCGGAAGGAAAGGCGUGUACAGGAGUAAACAUGCCAGAGACUGGAGUCCAGAACCUUGAAAGUUUAAUGAGGACAGUUAGUGAAGCAGUACCCUGUGAUGAAUCACAUCAAAAGCACUGCUUAAAUCAAGUGGGAUCAUGGUGGACAAUACCAUUUAAUUUAACUGCUUAAAGGUCAUUUGAAACUCUUAAUAGUGCACUGGCAGGAGGACUUGGCUUCUAAAUCCAGGCAGAUAAAGGUGCAUUAGGUCUCCAGAGUGGAGGACUUAAGAUCUGAGCCAGCCCGGCAGAGCUGGUGCACCUGAAUAGAUGAGAAGAAGCAAGAGGAGACAGAUGAAAGUGAAACGGAGUCACUGCGGGUUUUUUACUUCUUUUAAUUUUUUAGAGAUCUCCUCACUGGAGGGCCUAAAAAGUGAUGUUAAGAAAGUAAUAAAUGAGUACAAGGUUAUUACAGGGAAUAUUGCUGUCAUGUUUUGUGAGCAAAUGAACAUGUUAUAUAAGUAGUUAUAAUGGCGGUACACAAGGUAGAGUUUCAUAUUUUCAGAAAAUAAAGAUUACAACUGAAUGUAUCUGGUGCAUAUUUAAUGAAGAGCAUAAUCAAGGGAUAUUGGAGCUGUAAAGGAACCGGCCAGUUGUCAGGUUCAGCCUCCUCAUUUGUGCAAAUGAGGAAAACAAAUUUGGAGAUGACUCUGGUAUCCUGAGUUUACACAGUCACCAGGGAUGGAUCCAGGAUUAGCACUCAGGCCUCUCAUGCUGUACUGGCCCAUCUACUUCAUUGUUACUGGGCUGCAGGAGCCUUAGCUAUAAACAGACACUUCAGGUUUUUGCGCUGUAACUAAACAGACUCUGGGGAGGCAGCUGGGAGAGGGAGAAUCAGAUUGAGCCAGAGUUGCUCAGGAGAUCCUGAAAAGCUAUGAAUUUGGAACCCAAAGGACAGAGCCUCCCUCUCCUCAGGGAAAGGGUGUCUAGGGUUUGGGCAUUUGCCUGCUCAUCCUUUGUGCUCACCUGCCUGCCCAGCUACUACACCUGUCAGGUGGCUGCUGGACUUGGACCAUGAGUCAAGAGAAGGAGUACUCCCAAAUUAGUCCCUUUCUGCUGGUGACGAUCUUUAAUCUCACCAUUGAAAUACACAGCUCCCUUUUCUCAUUUUUCUUUUGAAUGGAUUGCCUUUCCUUGUCUGUUUGCUUUCUUGUUUUCUUAUUCCAUUUCCCCUUUUUACUGAUUGGGAAGUUACAGCCUCUAUUUUUAAAUUUUUAGUGUUUGUCCUUGAAACAUUAAUAUGCAUACUUAUCACAGUAUUAUUGAGCAUUUUAAUCUUUUUUAAACCCUAAAAAUUAGCAGUUGUUAUUAUUUUAUAUAGUUAGUUUUUAUAUUUACUCCCAUGUUUACCACUUUCUUUAUUCAUAGUCCUUUCUCAGCCCUGUCUUUUCUUCUCAAGUAUAUCCUCCCUUUAGGUACAGGUCCUUUCGAUGGCAAAUUCCCUUUGUUUGGUUGCUGCACUUGUGUUCUUGUAAAGCUACAUAAUUCUUUGUUGACAGUUAUUUUCUCUCACCAGAGAUUUUGCCACCCUUUCGUGGCUUCCUGUGUAAGCUGUGGGCAAGUUGGGUAUCGGUCUCAUUGUCAUUACUGGUAACAAAGAUGUGUUUUUUCUCUUGAGUAUUUUUGGGACCAUCUUUGUCUUUCUUAUUUCAUGGUUUUACUACAGCAGGUCUAGGUGGGGAUUUUUUUUUUUUCCUUUUCCUUUAUCUGUGUGCUUCUUACCUGUGUAUUAAAGUCUCAUGAAUUAAAAAAAAAAAAAA